UGGGGAAUUUUGGACAAUGGGCGAAAGCCUGAUCCAGCAAUGCCGCGUGUGUGAAGAAGGCCUUCGGGUUGUAAAGCACUUUUGUCCGGAAAGAAAUCCUUGGCUCUAAUACAGUCGGGGGAUGACGGUACCGGAAGAAUAAGCACCGGCUAACUACGUGCCAGCAGCCGCGGUAAUACGUAGGGUGCAAGCGUUAAUCGGAAUUACUGGGCGUAAAGCGUGCGCAGGCGGUUUGCUAAGACCGAUGUGAAAUCCCCGGGCUCAACCUGGGAACUGCAUUGGUGACUGGCAGGCUAGAGUAUGGCAGAGGGGGGUAGAAUUCCACGUGUAGCAGUGAAAUGCGUAGGGAUGUGGAGGAAUACCGAUGGCGAAGGCAGCCCCCUGGGCCAAUACUGACGCUCAUGCACGAAAGCGUGGGGAGCAAACAGGAUUAGAUACCCUGGUAGUCCACGCCCUAAAACGAUGUCAACUAGUUGUUGGGGAUUCAUUUCCUUAGUAACGUAGCUAACGCGUGAAGUUGACCGCCUGGGGAGUACGGUCGCAAGAUUAAAACUCAAAGGAAUUGACGGGGUCAUAGCUGUUUCCU
rnacentral:rRNA from 1 species